GAGGAGGGGGGGGAACGGUUUGUUUGUUUGAAUGGUGAUCACGUGACAUGUUGGUGACGUCACCCGCCCUGCCGGGCUUGGCGCCGCCGAAGCCAAAGGCAAAGACGUCAUCGGCCUGGGAGCGGGUCGGCUUUGCGCGCUGGCUCACGGCCCGGCCCCCACCCUGCUGUCCGCUGGCCCCGCAGACAGGACGGAGCGCUGCCAGUCCUGGUGGUCAGGACGUGCGGCCUGAGGUCGCGCCCCGGGACACCUGCCCGGCUCCCCUUCCCGAGCCUCCGCCGAGAGCGUAGGAGCACUGCUGGGACCACGAUCUCAACUGGUCCUGCUCGCGUUGUUGGAGUAUUGGCCCGGGAGAGCCGAGCGGAAAGGGGGAAGGAGUAGAGAGAGAUGACCAACUCGGAAAUCAGGACAGAACUCAAACAUGGCAGGAAUCUGGAGGCAGGAGCUGUCGAAGAGGACUUGGCGAGAUGCUACUUGUGGCUUGCUCCUUACAGCUUGCUCAACCUGCUUUUUAUAGAAACCCAGGACAAUCAGCUCAGGGGUGCACCACCUACAUUGGGCUGGGCCCUCCCCCAUCAAUCACUAAUGAAGAAAAUGCCCUGCGGGUCUGUCUAUAGCCUGCUCUAAUGGAGGAAUUUUCUCAGUUGAGGUCCUUCUUCUCAAAUGACUCUAGCCUGUGACAAGUUGACAUAAAACUAGCCAACACAAAAGGUCAUGUUUUGACAACUUGCUCUCAAAUGAUUUGGUCAUCAGUGAGGUUUAGGCUUGGAAAAGAGCCCUGGUCUCUUUUGCUUAAGAAAGCCACUUAUACUGGGAAAUGAGUGGGAUUGGGUUACAUGAUGUAAAAUUUCCAAAGAAACAAUGAAAAAAUAUGUUAAUAAAUUUUUCUCUAAUUAAAAAAAAGAAAGAAAGCCACUUAUGUGAUGAGGCAUGAAGAUCAGAAAUUUAGUGUCAUUCUCAGAUUCGUAGUAAUUUUGAGGCCAGUUUGAGCUUUGUGAGACCCUGUUUCAGGGUUAGGGGAAGAAAAUAAAUGUGACUAUAGGUCAAUGAUAGAGUACUUGCCUAGCAUGUGCCAAAUCCCAGGUUUCAUCCACAUCACACACACAAAUAAAAUGAGUUCAUUUUCUUGAUCACCUA